UACAGAGGUCUCAAGCGUUGUUCGGAUUCAUUGGGCGUAAAGGGUGCGUAGGCGGUCGGGUAAGUCUGACGUGAAAUCUUCAAGCUCAACUUGGAAACUGCGUCGGAUACUAUUCGGCUAGAGGAAUGGAGGGGAGACUGGAAUACUUGGUAUAGCAGUGAAAUGCGUAGAUAUCAAGUGGAACACCGGUGGCGAAGGCGGCGACCUGGUCCUUGACUGACGCUGAGGCGCGAAAGCGUGGGGAGCAAACAGG
rnacentral:rRNA from 1 species